UACGGGGGGGGCAAGCGUUGUUCGGAAUUACUGGGCGUAAAGGGCGUGUAGGCGGCCAACUAAGUCCGACGUGAAAUCCCCAGGCUUAACCUGGGAACUGCGUCGGAUACUGGAUGGCUUGAAUCCGGGAGAGGGAUGCAGAAUUCCAGGUGUAGCGGUGAAAUGCGUAGAUAUCUGGAGGAAUACCGGUGGCGAAGGCGGCAUCCUGGACCGGCAUUGACGCUGAAGCACGAAAGCUAGGGGAGCAAACGGG
rnacentral:rRNA from 1 species